GCCCGCCUAGCUCAGUUGGUAGAGCACCUGUCUUGUAAACAGGAGGUCUCCGGUUCGAUCCCGGAGGCGGGCU
rnacentral:tRNA from 2 species